UUCCGGUUGAUCCCGCCGGACCCGACUGCUAUUUGGGUGAGGAUAAGCCAUGCGAGUCGAAUGGGAUACCUAAAUUUCCCAUGGCAGACUGCUCAGUAACACAUGAUCAACUUACCCUAUAGUGAAAAAUAACCUCGGGAAACUGAGGAUAAUGUUUCAUAGUUGAAAAGGCUUGGAGGAGUUUUUCAAUGAAGGGAUAAGAAAAAUGGUUCUUUUCCGCUAUAGGAUAGGAUCGUGCUCGAUUAUGGUUGUUGGUGAGGUAACGGCUCACCAAGCCGAUAAUCGAUAGGGGCCGUGAGAGCGGGUGCCCCGAGAUGGGUACUGAGACAACGACCCAGGCCUUACGAGGCGCAGCAGGCGCGAAACCUCCGCAAUACACGAAAGUGUGACGGGGUUACCCAAAGUGUUCAAUUUUGAACUGUGGUAGGUGAGUAAUGUCCCCUACUAGAAAGGAGAGGGCAAGGCUGGUGCCAGCCGCCGCGGUAAAACCAGCUCUUCAAGUGGUCGGGAUAAUUAUUGGGCUUAAAGUGUCCGUAGCCGGUUUAGCAAGUUCCUGGUAAAAUCGGGUAGCUUAACUAUCUGUAUGCUAGGAAUACUGUUAUACUAGAGGGCGGGAGAGGUCUGAGGUACUACAGGGGUAGGGGUGAAAUCUUAUAAUCCUUGUAGGACCACCAGUGGCGAAGGCGUCAGACUGGAACGUGCCUGACGGUGAGGGACGAAAGCCAGGGGAGCGAACCGGAUUAGAUACCCGGGUAGUCCUGGCCGUAAACGAUGCAUACUAGGUGAUGGUAUGGCCAUGAGCCGUGUCAGUGCCGUAGGGAAACCGUUAAGUGUGCCGCCUGGGAAGUACGGUCGCAAGGCUAAAACUUAAAGGAAUUGGCGGGGGAGCACCACAAGGGGUGAAGCCUGCGGUUCAAUUGGAUUCAACGCCGGG
rnacentral:rRNA from 1 species